UACGUAGGGGGCAAGCGUUGUCCGGAAUCAUUGGGCGUAAAGAGCGUGUAGGCGGCCCGAUAAGUCCGCUGUGAAAGUCCAGGGCUCAACCCUGGAAUGCCGGUGGAUACUGUCGGGCUCGAAUCCGGAAGAGGUGAGUGGAAUUCCUGGUGUAGCGGUGAAAUGCGCAGAUAUCAGGAGGAACACCAGUGGCGAAGGCAGGUCUCUGG
rnacentral:rRNA from 1 species